rnacentral:rRNA from 1 species
CCUACGGGUGGCAGCAGUGGGGGAUAUUGCACAAUGGGGGGAACCCUGAUGCAGCGACGCCGCGUGAGCGAUGGAGUACUUCGGUAUGUAAAGCUCUGUCAGCAGGGAAGAAAAUGACGGUACCUGACCAAGAAGCCCCGGCUAACUACGUGCCAGCAGCCGCGGUAAUACGUAGGGGGCAAGCGUUAUCCGGAUUGACUGGGUGUAAAGGGGGCGCAGACGGCAAUGCAAGCCAGGAGUGAAAGCCCGGGGCCCAACCCCGGGACUGCUCUGGGAACUGCAUGGCUGGAGUACAGGAGGGGCAGGCGGAAUUCCUGGUGUAGCGGUGAAAUGCGUAGAGAUUAGGAGGAACACCGGUGGCGAAGGCGGCCUGCUGGACUGUGACUGACGUUGAGGCCCGAAGGCGUGGGGAGCAAACAGGAUUAGAUACCCUUGUAGUC